GAGGGUGGGGUGUGUGAAGCUAGAUCUUAUAGCCCAGGCUGGCAUCAAGCACAUUACACAGAUGAAGAUAACCUUGAAAUAAUCCUCCUGUCUCCAUUUCCCAAUUUUGGGAUUAAGUUUGUCUUUACCAAAGGCAGACCCCAAGACAAAGAUUGGGAUGCCUGGAAUUUAUUGGAAAGUGAUCUCAGAAACACAGUGAGAAGGCAAAGAAAGGAGACGAGGAAGAACUAACAAAGAUCCUCAAGCGAAGAUGGGAUUCUUGGCAUCACUACAGAAAAGAACUUCAGGAUGAGCCAGCACGAAGCAGAAUGGAGUUUCUUGCA